rnacentral:rRNA from 1 species
UACGUAGGGUGCAAGCGUUGUCCGGAUUUAUUGGGCGUAAAGAGCGUGUAGGCGGCCAUACAGGUCAGCUGUGAAAACUCGAGGCUCAACCUCGAGACGUCGGUUGAAACCGUAUGGCUAGGAGUCCGGAAGAGGAGAGUGGAAUUCCCGGUGUAGCGGUGAAAUGCGCAGAUAUCGGGAAGAACACCCGUGGCGAAGGCGGCUCUCUGGGACGGUACUGACGCUGAGACGCGGAAAGCGUGGGGAGCGAACAGG